rnacentral:rRNA from 1 species
GACGAACGCUGGCGGCGUGCCUAAUACAUGCAAGUAGAACGCACAGUUUAUACCGUAGCUUGCUACACCAUAAACUGUGAGUUGCGAACGGGUGAGUAACGCGUAGGUAACCUGCCUGGUAGCGUGGGAUAACUAUUGGAAACGAUAGCUAAUACCGCAUAAUAUUGAUUAUUGCAUGAUAAUUGAUUGAAAGAUGCUAUUGCAUCACUACCAGAGGGACCUGCGUUGUAUUAGCUAGUAGGGGAGGGAACGGCCCACCUAGGCGACGAUACAUAGCCGCCCGGUGAGGGUGGUCGGCCACACUGGGACUGAGACGCGGCCCAGACUCCUACGGGAGGCAGCAGUAGGGAAACUUCGGCAAUGGACGAAAGUCUGGACGAGCAACGCCGCGUGAGUGAAGAAGGUUUUCGGAUCGUAAAGCUCUGUUGUAAGAGAAGAACGGGUGUGAGAGUGGAAAGUUCACACUGUGACGGUAACUUACCAGAAAGGAACGGCUAACUACGUG